rnacentral:rRNA from 1 species
CCUACGGUGAGCAGCAGUCGAGAAUCAUUCACAAUGGGGGAAACCCUGAUGGUGCGACGCCGCGUGGGGGAAUGAAGGUCUUCGGAUUGUAAACCCCUGUCAUGUGGGAGCAAAUUAAAAAGAUAGUACCACAAGAGGAAGAGACGGCUAACUCUGUGACAGCAGCCGCGGUAAUACAGAGGUCUCAAGCGUUGUUCGGAAUCACUGGGCGUAAAGCGUGCGUAGGCUGUUUCGUAAGUCGUGUGUGAAAGGCGCGGGCUCAACCCGCGGACGGCACAUGAUACUGCGAGACUAGAGUAAUGGAGGGGGAACCGGAAUUCUCGGUGUAGCAGUGAAAUGCGUAGAUAUCGAGAGGAACACUCGUGGCGAAGGCGGGUUCCUGGACAUUAACUGACGCUGAGGCACGAAGGCCAGGGGAGCGAAAGGGAUUAGAUACCCCAGUAGUC